rnacentral:rRNA from 1 species
UACGGGGGGGGCAAGCGUUGUUCGGAAUUACUGGGCGUAAAGCGCACGCAGGCGGUCGGGCGCGUGGGUGUGAAAUCUGGCCGCUUAACGGCCAGGCGCCAUCCCAUACGGCUCGACUGGAGUGAUGCAGAGGUCGAUGGAAUUGCCGGUGUAGUGGUGAAAUGCGCAGAUAUCAGGAGGAACACCAAUGGCGAAGGCAGCUCGCUGGGACGGUACUGACGCUGAGGCGCGAAAGCGUGGGGAGCAAACAGG